GGUUGAUCCCGCCGGAGGUCACUGCUAUUGGGAUUCGACUAAGCCAUGCGAGUCGCGAGGGUUCGGCCCUCGGCUGACGGCUCAGUAACACGCGGAUAAUCUGCCCUUAGGUGGAGGAUAAUCUCGGGAAACUGAGAAUAAUAUUCCAUAGAUUUAGGAUGCUGGAAUGCACUUAAAUUAAAAGCUUCGGCGCCUAAGGAUGAGUCUGCGGACUAUCAGGUUGUAGUCAGGGUAACGACCUGACUAGCCUACGACGGAUACGGGUUGUGAGAGCAAUAACCCGGAGAUGAUAUCUGAGACACGAUAUCAGGCCCUACGGGGCGCAGCAGGCGCGAAAACUUCGCAAUGUGCGAAAGCACGACGAGGGAAUCCCAAGUGCUGGCUCGUUAGAGUCAGNUGUUUUUAUGUCUAAAAAGCAUAGAGAGUAAGGGCUGGGUAAGACGGGUGCCAGCCGCCGCGGUAA
rnacentral:rRNA from 1 species